rfam:Sorex araneus cont1.590549, whole genome shotgun sequence.
AACCAACAUGUAUGAAAUAUAAGAUGGCAAAGACAUGAAAGGAAAAUUACGAAUGCCAGCAGUUCAGCUUUGCUUAG